AUGAUUCUAUCAUAUUUUUCACUUUUGUGUAUCAUUGUUAUGUUAUUAUGUGUAACAACAAUAAAUUUCAUUUAUAUUCAUACUUUAACAUAUAGGGUUACAAAUAUCUGUAUGAUCAACUAUAUUAUUUUUUCGUUGAAAAAUGGGCUAAACACCCGUCAAAUAAGAAAUUGGCUAAUCCCCAUUUUCAAACCGAUAAUAAAGACAAAUAAAUCUUCUAUAGUUAGGAUUCAUAUAGUUGAACAGUCAUUAUAA